AACCUUUAAUAUAUAAAGUUUAGCUCCAUUAUAGGAUCUAGAAAUUUCUCCUGUAGAAUAUCAGGAAAAACUACCUGAUGAUUAUUGAUCAUAAAACUAAGAGUGGCAAUCCAUGCUUCCAAGCUUCAAGACAAGGGACAUCAAAUUUUGGCAAAAUAAUUUGGGGAGAGCCAAUAAUUUUAGUAUGAUUUAGUUUCAAAGAUUUAGGGCAAUAUGGUAUUACUUCCUUUCCUGUCCACAUAUCUACCCCACCCCCUUUUCUGCAUAUUAUAUGAAAAGGUGGCAGUGUGUAUAACUGGCAUGGCUUUAGGCUUGGGUUUGUCAACAUUGCUGGUUAACUCAGUUAAUAGGGCAACAAUGUUAGCUGUGGCUGGUUUGCUUCCUACCCUCAUCAUGUGGCCAACACACAAUUUCUCCUACUCAGUAUAUUUUCACAAAUCCUGGUCCACUUUUCAAGAUUGUGCGAGGCUACACUUUUUUGUGCAACCAUCAAAUAUACUCGUGAAUUUUUAAAGUUCUGUUAUCUUAUCAUGUUAGUUUUUCAGUCAUGCAGUUUUAAUAUCGCUGAAGGAAGCAGGUUUUUUGUAAACAAAACUUUACAAUCGAAGAUAACUGUUAAAGACAAUUUUAAAGACAAGGCUGAUCUCAAGAAAACAUGCAGUCAUUCGUUUAUUCAAUAAAAUUUGCUCGACAAUACUCGACAAAAGUUUCCUGUGCCAAAGUCACUGCAAGCAGCUUGGUCAAAUCCAAUAGUUGUUGUAGUUGUUUUUGAGUUGUUGCUGCUGCGUAUUGUUGUGGCAGAAUGGGGAUAAAUUCUUUGGGGUGGAUUAAAGAUCAACAUUGCCAGAAAUGCUGAGUUAUCGAUAAAGAGUGGAGUGAGAAGAAUGUAUAUUUCAUUUUGGAGUGAAACAAUUUGUUCUUGUGUGCUGAAUGAUUCCAUAAGGCGAUAUCUAUGAGAGUGUCGUCAAUCUAUGAAGUUCAGUUGUGACCAGCCCAGCAGCGGAAAAGUUUGUGGGUUAUUUCUCGAGCUUGCAGCCAUGAUACAACGCAGCCCACUACAGGGAGAAGAGCAUCAAUAGUGAAAAUAAUUUGAGUUGUAUUGAAAACUUUAUCACUUUGAAGCAAUAUGAAUAUUAUACAAGGACAUGGGAAAAUCGAGUCCCGAACAGUUUUCGUGAAAUGGAAGAGGAGAUGGAUGGUUUUGCAAGAUAGGAAAGAUCCCCCUGAAAAAGCGAUUUUCUUGUUUAAAAGUGAAAAGGACACUAAGCACCCAGAAAAGGAGAAAAUUAUUCUAGUCAAUGUAAACAGCAUCAAAAGAAAAUAUUUUUCUGACAGUAAACAUGUUUUGACUUUGGAGUACAAGGAUAAAAAUGUUGAAAAAAUAAUGUUUGCAUCAGAAGCAGAGUUGAAUGGCUGGUAUGAGCAAUUAAAUGUUGUUUGUUUUGGAUCUGUUCUUGGCAAUUCACUCGAGAAAGUAAAAAACACUGCUAAUGAGCAAAAUAAUCCUGAAGCUACUGAAGUAACAGAGGAAGUGGUAGCCAAAAAAGAUUUGUUCUCAGUCCACCUUCAACCAUCAGCAAAACUAAGUAUAUCUGGGGAUUGUGAACUUGAAGUUUCAACAGAAGAAAUCAUACUCUUUGAUGUAAAAUGCUCAAAUGUGAAACUUGUUUCAUGGCCAAUACCAUCCUUACGGCGGUUUGGUUUUGAUGCCACUAGGUUUACUUUUGAGGCUGGAAGACGCUGUGACACUGGGGAGGGUAUGUUUGUUUUCAAGACUAAAGAUGGUGAAAGAAUCCAUCAAUUGGUGCAAAGCUAUGCACACCAACUAGCAUUUGAUUCCAGUAAAUGCUUAUCAGCUGAUGACAGUGACAAUGACAAUUGCAUUUUUCGUCCACUUCCUCCAGUUCCAAACGCUGUGACACUGGGGAGGGUAUGUUUGUUUUCAAGACUAAAGAUGGUGAAAGAAUCCAUCAAUUGGUGCAAAGCUAUGCACACCAACUAGCAUUUGAUUCUAGUAAAUGCUUAUCAGCUGAUGACAGUGACAAUGACAAUUGCAUUUUUCAUCCACUUCCUCCAGUUCCAACAAUAAAACCACAUUUGGCAACCCAGCAAGGACUGCUUCGUGCAGUGGCGUAGAUAUAUGCUGUGAAAAUUCAAGUUUUAUGAGUGGGAGUUCUUAGGUAUUUAUGAAUGCAUGCAUGCUUUACACCAAUCAAUAUAUGAAUGCUACAUUUUAAUGAUUUUUAGAGUUAGAGCAUCAAAGAUUCAGCAUAGGUUAAUGAGUAAGAGAGGCUCGUAAAUCAUCAUCUGUAUUUAUAGAUAUCUUGCGCUGUUUCUAGUUGUAGCCUUGUUAUUCUGAUUACCCUAUGGUGUUGAUCAUAGAGUUCUACUUUUACAAGGCAUUACCAAACAAGAAACCAUUCCGGAAUCGUUACGAUAUCGUGGAUUGUGUUGACUUGCUCUGAAAUCUUAAUCAAGAUAGUUUGUGAUGAAGCAGUGUCUCAUUCUUGAUACUUGUUGUGGAAACUAGUUUCAUCAAUAAUGCAAGAAAGAGCUUUUUCUAGUUAUGUUGAAGAUCUUUUAAUAACAGAGAAGAGGCUUUCAAUUAUCACACUUUCUAUUUCGGCUGUCUUUGUUCAGGUGUACUUUUAACCAGCGUACAAGAAUAAACUAAUAGCAAGGUGACUUACCAUAUCUCUUGCAUUCACAUUCACAUGCACUUGUUUUACCAGAUAUUCUGCAAUCUCCAUUUUCUUUCUGAAAAUGGCGUAAUGCAGUGGUGUGGUCCCUGCGUGGUCAGGUCGGUUGAAGUCAAACUCUAUUCCGUAGAAUACUUUGACUAUAUCCAAAUGUCCGUUUUUGAUUGCCUGUUCAAAAAGAAUCAUCAUUAGGAUUGGCGACACAUUACAACAAAAGGAAAGAGAUCAAAUUCAGCCACUAUCCUCUCUACUUUAAAAAUGUUGGUUUAAAAAAGAAAAUGAUCUAUAAAGUUGUCGGAAAUUGUUACCUUAAAUAGCAGUGAGGGGUGCCAACGUGAAAGGAAAGGUAGAUUGCAAAAAUUGACACUAACGAACAGGACCAUAUUUAGAGAGAGAUAUAUCUUACCAUAAAAAUAGGACUCCUCCCAAAUCUGUCAAUAGUGAUUUUGCCAUCAGCAUCCAAAAUGAGCCGUACCACUUGAAUUCUGCCGGCGAGGCAUCCAUAAUGCAGUGCCGUGCUGCAAAAUUGCAAUAGAAUUUAUGCAACCUUUAUCUAUAGAUAACUAAAGAGACUAACGUUUUUCACGAAGAAAGCAAAAACUCAAAUUGCUACAUAGAAAAUUAAAGCAUCAAAGAAAAUAAUAGUUCUAAGUUUGUAGACCCCUUUGAAAGGCCAAAAAUAUCACAGAUUUCUUUCCAGGAAAGAUAAAAAUUUAAGGGAGGGGGAUAAACAUUUAUAGGCACUUUAAAGACACAACAAAUGACACAAGACACAAAUAAAAUGUACACUAGUGGUGAGAUAUAAAGUAAAAGUAAUGUGUAAUAAUUUUAUUGAUGCUAGAUAGCACGAAUACAAAUGAUUUGAAUUCGUUUAAAAGGUUAAAAUAUAUAUGAAACAGAUAAGGACUAUUAACAAAAUCUGUUAAAGAAUAGAAUAAAAUGUAUUUAAAAAGGAAUUGUCAGAAUAUCUUGGAAACAUUUCAAACUAAUAUGUUCUGCUUUAUUAUUACUUGAUUUAUCAUAAAGAAAAUAGAUUAAAACGAGGAAUAAAUAAAGCUGAUUGCCAGAUAAAGUUGAAUUGAAUAUGUCUUCUUUAAUUAGUUAGUUCUCUAAAUAUUAAGACAUCCUAUUGUUAAAAACUUUUAAGAAGAACAUACCGUCCUUCGACAUCCUUCUUGUUGAUAUCAACUCGUCUUUUCUUUAAAAGACUUUGCAAUUUCUGAAUCUUGUUCUUGUACGCGGCUCGGUGUAACCUUGGAAGAUCCCAAAGGUUUAAGCCGUCUUCAUUCGUACUCGCUGUUGAGCGGUGAAAAAACUUAGACAACAUUGUCAAUCCUUCGCAACCGACGUUCACAACGCAACUGAUUAAAAAUGUUCACCGAAGAUGAUAAGUUACAAAUUGUUCGUAAUUUGACGUCAUAUCAAUGAAGGAUUAUCCAUCGUCAUAGUUGAUUUGGAAGCGAAAAGCCUGGUACCUAAUUUGCGUCUCUACAAAAAGUGUUUCCAAAGCAGAAUUUGGCAGAAGAGCUAAUUAAAAGAAAUGAAGAACAAGUCUUACUGCUAAAAUUAUCAAAAAACCUUUCAAUAAUGGUUGUUCAUUGAUAGACUGUGUAUUUAUAAGCAUCGGGUUGUUAAAGCAGACAGUUUUCAGAUCUUACGUCACUUUUACCGCUUGAAUACGAGGUUACUCUUGGUCUCUUUUGCGGAAGCAAUUUGUUAGUGUUUUUGAAAACAGUGUGAGAAUAGGAUGCCUCCUUGGAGGCACAAAAAAGGAAAAUAGAUAAUGAAAUACCACAGAGCAAGAUCUGAAGAUUCCCACAAUAAUAGCUAACAUCAUUGGGUCUUUGGGAAUCUGCAAAACAGACGUAGUAAUAGUAUCAUUGCAUAGCUUUUGCCAAAGACAAUAAAGAUAAGCUGGGAGAAAAUGUCCAAAAAUCUAUUAAACAAUUUUAUUCAGAUUAAUUUUCUGGAAGAAGGGCAACUAAAACGAAUCCAAUGAAUACCGUUUGAAACCUAAGUUUUAUCCAGGAAAAUUGUUCGACCACCAGAAGAAUCGCUUACUUUUCGAUUUUACACAAACAAAAUGUUUUCUUGUAAACCUCAGAGUACGGGAAGGAUUUGCAUUUUCAAUUCUGAUAAGAUAAAACCUUAUCUUGUCGAUAAUUCAUACAAGUUCAUUUUUAACAACUUAGAAUUACUAUUCAAAACAAAUAUCUACGAUAAAAUGUUCACUGCGAAAUCUCAGAAGCCAUUUCGUUUCUAAACUCAUGGGGGAGGAAACAAUUAAAGAAUUCAACAGCUCGUUAUAUUUUCCAUUGCCAAUGAAUCAUCAAAAACAUUAGAAAAAUAGUCCAAAAAAUUAUGAAGCGUUCAUAGUAGGAUCAGUACAGCACAUAGAGGCCCCAUGGAGAGCUUGGAUUACUCGGGUGUAAAGGGCGAGAGAAAAGAAAUAAUAGUGAACUUGAGAUUCUGUUGUUUAUUGAUUAAGGAGAAACAGCAAGGGAUACAUAUUGUAUGUAGAAAAUGCAUAGAAAACGAAUGUUGAUCCAGAUAUUUGAGGUUUACUUUCAAGUUAGGGGUCUGGGACACAGGCUACAUUGUUCAAGAGCGAUCUUCCUUAUUCGGACACAGGCUGUCAAAGUUCCCGAAGAGCGCCCACAGACAUAUGAAUGAAGGAAAUGGAUAAAUUAAUAAUGA